rnacentral:rRNA from 1 species
AGUCGAACGGUAACAGGUCUUCGGAUGCUGACGAGUGGCGAACGGGUGAGUAAUACAUCGGAACGUGCCCGAUCGUGGGGGAUAACGGAGCGAAAGCUUUGCUAAUACCGCAUACGAUCUACGGAUGAAAGCAGGGGACCGCAAGGCCUUGCGCGGACGGAGCGGCCGAUGGCAGAUUAGGUAGUUGGUGGGAUAAAAGCUUACCAAGCCGACGAUCUGUAGCUGGUCUGAGAGGACGACCAGCCACACUGGGACUGAGACACGGCCCAGACUCCUACGGGAGGCAGCAGUGGGGAAUUUUGGACAAUGGGCGAAAGCCUGAUCCAGCCAUGCCGCGUGCAGGAUGAAGGCCUUCGGGUUGUAAACUGCUUUUGUACGGAACGAAAAGACUCCUUCUAAUAAAGGGGGUCCAUGACGGUACCGUAAGAAUAAGCACCGGCUAACUACGUGCCAGCAGCCGCGGUAAUACGUAGGGUGCAAGCGUUAAUCGGAAUUACUGGGCGUAAAGCGUGCGCAGGCGGUUAUAUAAGACAGAUGUGAAAUCCCCGGGCUCAACCUGGGAACUGCAUUUGUGACUGUAUAGCUAGAGUACGGUAGAGGGGGAUGGAAUUCCGCGUGUAGCAGUGAAAUGCGUAGAUAUGCGGAGGAACACCGAUGGCGAAGGCAAUCCCCUGG